AUUAGCUCCAGCCUGGAGCCCCCUUUAACACUUGCCCUUUUAAUACCCUUAUAAAAGUGUACAUUUUGUAUUGAUAUAUGGACUUUGCCAUAAUGUUUUGUCCUGGCUUGACUUUUUGCUUGAUUCUAUUUAGCUUAUAUACGCCUUAAAUUCGGUCUAAUCCUGGCCUUUUCUGAUAACAUACUCUUUUGUUCAAUUUGCUUACAGUGGUAAAACUGUCCUAUUGUACAGCCUUUGUAAAAUCCUCUGUAGUUGGUCUCCCACAGAUAAAGAACAUUGUCCAAUAGCCUUCUGUUUGUACAGUACAUUCUAUACUUUGUUCUGUUUGAUGUUAAAGUGAAAAGUUAUGAUGGAAGAUAUACUGCAGAGUAAAACGAG